rnacentral:lncRNA from 1 species
UAGAAAGUUCAUUAAAGAUCCAGGGGAAAUGAAGGCAGGCAGAAGAAGGCAGAAGAUGAGUCUGGAGGCCCAGGAAGAGGUCUAGAGAGUCACCGGUAUCUGGAAUGUAGAUCAAGCUCUGGGGAACAGGUAAGCGAGCCCGGCAUUUGGAAUAGCUAAAGACUCUUGUCUUCACUCUGUUGCCCAGACUGGCCUGGAACUCAGGGCAGUGCCUCAGCCUCUGAAUGCUGGGAUUACAGACACAAACCACCACCCUCUGCUUCUGUGUGUGCAGAUCUAGUGCCUCUCUGUAUCUGAGCUCAAGGUUCCAAAACUCCGGAACUUGCCCUUCACCCUGAUGCCACACCCACCACCUCUCCUGGUUUCCCCCUCUUCCCUCUGUCCUUCCCGUUACCUUAAAGGAUUCUUUUUCUUUGGUCCCCAUUUAAAUUGCUAUUAGUCACACCGCUGAUGACACAGGAUUAAGCAACAGUCUCCGCAUCCUACUGGCUUAUCAUAAAAGCCAUACUUCUCACUCAGCGGCCUGCCAACCAGCUCUACAGCUCGCAAUCGAGGUCCAACUUCUGUGUACCCCACACGUAUCCCCACUCAAGGGCUUCCUGACAUGUUCCUUUUGUAAUAACAGCACUAGAGGCUGAGCUCCUCCACUCUGCUCCCACAUCACAUGCCAGGCCUAAGCUGAGGGGUUCAGCAGGAGGAAGAUUUAUAGAAUAAGAAACUGUGGUGUCACAUGGUGGUGACCCCAGCACCCAGGAGGCUGAAGCAUGAGGAUCCUAAAUCCAAGGCCACCAAGAUGGCAGAGAAGCCAGGCCAGGCUGAGUUAUGUAUUAAGACCACGUAUACUUGUGUAUGUGUAUGUCUGUGUGUGUGUGUUUAUGUGUGUGUGUACAUAUAUACUCCAUACAUAUUCAUAUAUAUUCACAUAUACUAUAUGUGAAUAUAUAUCACAUCAUAUAUACACAUAUAUAAUAUAUGUAUUACAUAUGAUUAUACACACACAGACUGGUUAACACAGUCUAUUAAAACCGGCUCCUCCCUGUUCUUGCUCCGUCUCUUUGGACAAGUUCACACGUGGGUGUGGCCCCUGACUAGCUCCCUCUCAGCAGUGCUGCUUGUGCCUUUCUUUUUGUUGUUGUUUUUUUUUUCCAGACAGGGUUUCUCUGUGUAGCCCUGGCUGUCCUGGAACUCACUUUAUAGCUCAGGCUGGCCUCAAACUCAGAAAUCCACCUGCCUCUGCCUCCCAAGUGCUGGGGUUAAAGACAUGCGCCACCACAACCUGCUGCGUGUGCCUUUCAACACCAGCACCACAGGUUUCAAGACAAGGUAUUCCCACUGACGUCAUUCAGGAGCCCCCCCCCCCCCAGGUUCAGGUAGCCGGGGUUAGACUUUAUAUCUCUCUGGUCAUCCAAUUCCUGUAGCUCAUCUCCGUGUCUUUACAGAGCACCAACCUGCCUCCAGACCAGCAAGCUGGAGAGACAGCCUCUGUGCCUCUUCCUGACCCUAGCCAGCGCCAUGCUGAUGAGUUGGACCUGGUUGUUCUUGGCAGUGGGGACAGAUGUGUAAAUAAGAGAACCUUGGUCCUUAUGUGAGGGAGCAGACAGCUCCAGCAGCGUCUGUGAUCUAAGGUGACAAGGCAGUGAUUGAGCACGUGGGCCCCUGUGGACAAUGUGGAGAUGCUAAGCUGGGCUGGAGGUCAGGGAAGAUGACCUAGCCUGGACCGUGUGGACACUGAUGAGCCCUCCCAGGGAGAUGCUGGAUCUCUAGCGGCUCCGGCUCCGGGGCAGCUUUGAGGAGCAUCAACAGGUCUGAUGAAAGAGUAGCCAGUGGGGGAUCAAGGAGGGCUGUUCAGAGAGGUUGAUGGAAGGGAACCAGGAGCGGGAUGUGAUAACACACACUGUUAAUCCCACCGCUUGGGAGGCAAAGGCAGGCGGAUCGCUGAGUUCAAGGCCAGCCUGGUCUACAGAGUGAGUUCCAGCUGGGGCUACACAGAGAAACCCUGUCUCAACCCCACCCCCCAAAAAAAAGACGAUGCACAUCAGUUCAGGGAGAGAGUGGUUCAAAGAACAGCGAGAGCUCUGUGGAGGGCGAGGUCAGCCUACUGAAAACAGUUCUGGGGGGAGUAACGGCAGCAGAAACUGGAUCCAGACAGUGGACAACGAGGGAGCGAGCAAAAGCAGAAAUCACUGGAGAGGACAAAGGACAUCCCUGCAGCCGGGAGCACGUACUUGCUGUUCUAUGCUGUGUACUGGAGAGGAGCCAUGUAAAUGCUGGUCAGCAGGUGCCAGUAUGAAGGCUGGUGCUGAUAAGGAAGAGGACAGGGGCUGGAGAGAUGGCUCAGAUGGCACUGACUGCUCUUCUGAAGGAAGGUUCUGAGUUCAAAUCCCAGAAACCACAUGGUGGCUCACAAUCAUCCGUAAUGAGAUCUGAUGCCCUCUUCCUGUGUGUCUGAAGACAACUACAGUGUACUUACAUAUAACAAU